UGUUAUGGCGGCUGUGCGUGGGGGCGCUUUCGGGCGCACCGGUUCCUCGACCCGGUCUGCUAGCCCGCGUACAGCCGCCACCCUU
rnacentral:antisense_RNA from 4 species